rnacentral:misc_RNA from 1 species
GCAAACUUGGUCAUUUAGAGGAAGUAAAAGUCGUAACAAGGUUUCCGUAGGUGAACCUGCGGAAGGAUCAUUACUGAGUGUCUGAAAUCUCUGAUUUCAACCUCCCACCCCUUGUGUUUGAAUCUCAAAGUUGCUUUGGCAAAGCAGUAGAUCCUAGUAUCUACCUCUGGUGCAAGCUAGGGAGUUACCCUUUGCCAAAGUCAUAUUUACAAUCUGAUUUCAAUUGAUUGUCUGAAGUCUUUUAAAAUCAAACAAAAUUUUCAACAACGGAUCUCUUGGUUCUGGCAUCGAUGAAGAACGCAGC